AACAGCACCCAGUUUUAUUGGCAAAACUCUGUCUUCGUGUACACCCAUGUGAAGGUGGGUGUAUUCACGAGGGCCGGCUUUUCCCUGUCCUGCCUGGCGUCAACCUGCGGAUGGAACACUUAUAAGUGGAUGCCCAGCUGUGGAUUUCCCGGGCUGAAAGCUUCGUGUCGGGGGUGGCGGCCUGGAGACGCGGGAAAAAUGUGAUGAGGAGCGACGUGAACGGAAAAAGAAGAAGAAGAAGAACAAACGAACCAAAAGUCAAUGCACGGAUGGAUGGAUGUAGGGGGGAGAAAAAGGAAAAGUGCACUCUCUAUCGUCUAUCUAAAAGAGGAGAGAAACUCACAGGGGAGGAUAUGGCAGCAGCAGACCCUGAUGAAUUCACGAUCGCUAAUUAAAACUAACAAGCACACACACACACAUGCGUGUGUGUGUACUCGCCUUCGGGCUGCCAAUUAGCAAAAGCACCGUCGUAUUAGGUUUCACUGUAAAAAUAACAUUCGCCAACUAAUGACGGCAGAAGAAAGAAGAAGAAGAAGAAAGAAGAAGCAGCCGUCCCAAAUGGUUGUGAGAUCAUCAUCACAAACCUUUUUUCCUUUCCAUUUGUCAUUGAGGAGAAGUAAAAGAAGCUGUAACUACCUGGAAGAACAAAAACAAGAAGAAGAUUUCCCACACGGUCCGGUAGAGUCCGGAACGAUCCUGUGAGCUGAUUGUUUUGUCAAGAGUCACUGAACUGUUUUUCACCAGAAGCGGGCACACACACACGAAGAGCGUCGGACACACAAAAGUCGAGAGAAACGUCAACAUUUUCCAUUUCUUCUUCUUCUUCUCUUCUGCCGGCAGAACAACAACAAGAAAGAGAAGAGAAAAAGUGGUUUGACACGAUUAGACGCAGUCGCAGCUGUGUGGAAUCUAACGACGCGCGGCCUUUGACGUUCGUGAGAAGACGACCCGCUUCUUCUUCCAUCCAUCCGCUCUGCUUCUUCUUCUUUCUUUGCAAUGUACAUAUAAAAAAAAAGAGAAUAAGAGAAACGGGUUGGAUGUAUAAUCUAGCAACCAGGAGGGGGAAGACGGGAAAAAUGACUGAAUUUAUCCGUUUUUCUUUGAUGUGUAUAAUCACGUAGUUACACGGUAUAUACAGUCACUCGGCCCGCCCGUCUCUCUUGCCUCUGUGUGUGUUCUUUCUCUCCUUUUUCUUCUGUCUGACUUGUCGUUGAUUACAUUAGAGAGAUAUAUCAUUGCGAGCGCGUAGACAAAUGCACACAGCUCUUAUUAUUAUCAAAAGUCCCUCUCCUUUUAUUUUUCUA